rnacentral:rRNA from 1 species
GUAAAUGGCUGCAUAAAUCUGAGUGUACUGAGGUAGCGCUAUAAUUUGCCUUUUAAAUGGGGGCUGGUAUGAAUGGGUUCACGUGAGAGUUGCUGUGUCACAAAAAAUUAUUGAAAUUAACUUUUAGGUGAAGAGGCCUACUUGUGUUUAAAGGACGACAAGACCCUAGAAGCUUCACUAUUGGUAAGCUAUAUUUUAGUUCAUCUUAGUUUUGUUGGGGCAACAUAGUUAGAAAAUAUAACCGUUUUUUAUAAAACUUACAAGUUAAAACCACGAUAGUGAAUAAGGUAAGCUACUCUAGGGAUAACAGCGUUAUUUUUUUUAAUAGUUCGUAUUGUAAAAAAAGUUUGCGACCUCGAUGUUGGACUAAGGUGUCCUUAAGUCGUAGAAGUCUUAAAGGGUUGGCCUGUUCGUCCAUUAAAACCUUACA